CUGGAAGGGGGAAAGGCAGGAAAGGCGGCUGGGAUUGUAAGCAGCACGACCUACAACUCCCAGAAGCCUCUGCGGGAGGGCCCGGAACCAGCAGCCAAUCGGAGCCCGCUCUGUGGCACUAUAAAAGGUGCCCGCUGACCAACUUCCGCCUCUUUCGGACAUGGCGGCGAGCGGGGGACGACGCGAGGCUGCUGUCGGGGACCAUCCACCGCCAUCCUUCGUCGCUGGGGCUCUCCUGCCGCUCGGCUCCGCCAUAUCGGCGCCCUGUGGGCAUCGCGUCCAGCGCCCGCGCUUCCGUGCGCUUCGAAGGCUGCGAAGGGCAGCGCGGCCUUGCCCCCGCCCUCCUCCUCAGGCCGGGCCAAGCCCGGGCAUCAUCCUGGUAUAGAAGGUGGUCCUGGGGCAUGGGAUGGCUGGUGAUGGCCUCAGCUUUGGGCAGGCAUCCUGGGUGUUCCAGAGCUCACCAAAUCUGA
rnacentral:lncRNA from 1 species